UUCAGUUGCCAUCGGGUAAUGCCGGGCGACUCUGGAAGGACUGCCAUCGACAAGAUGGAGGAAGGUGGGGAGUGACGUCAAGUCAUCAUGGCCCUAUGCCAGGGCGACACACGUGCUACAAUGGCCGGCACAACGGGAAGCGAGUUCGCGAGGACGAGCGGAUCCCUCAAAGCCGGUCGCAGUUCGGAUUGAAGUCUGCAACUCGACUUCAUGAAGCUGGAAUCGCUAGUAAUCGUGGAUCAGCCAAGCCGCGGUGAAUACGUUCCCGGGCCUU
rnacentral:rRNA from 1 species